GUGAAGUGAAAUAUUGUAUAAAAUGAGGAACGGCUUUUAGAGAAGUAAUUACAUUACCAGUGCACAUGUUUGAAUCUCCGUGCAUGAUAUACCAAAUGAUAGAAAAAGAUUCUUCUAGUAGUGGUGGCCGCUCAGCAGCCAGUGGCAAACCGCCGAGUGUGAUUCUGUCAUGAGAAAAGCUUCUCAUAAAAACCAUUUGCCGUUCGGAGUCGGCUUAAAACUGUAGGUCCCUCCGUUUGAGGAACAACAUCAAGACGCUCGCCACAAAAAAGAGGAGGUGCUCGGCCAAACACCUAACAGAUGUGUCCACGCCGAUUGUUUAUUUUAUUUUUUUAUAUAUAUUUUAUAUAAUUAAUUCAUUAUCACGAAUUUAUUUCAAAUGCAAGUUUUUAAAUAAGCUGUUUUGGAAAUUGAAGUUGUUGGUGUACCAGGUGCCGUUUCUGGGCAUCGUUCCGUUUCUGGCUUUCGGAGAAGAGUAGGUGAUUGGUAUUAAAAUUUGCAAAUUCCCUUAUCAGCCAGGCUGAUAAAUUAUGGCUACGCUAUACGCCAUAGUAUAAGUUAAAUUCAGUCAAAUAAUGUCUGCCAGAGAAUAAUAUAUAUGCGAAAAUCAAAAACUAUAUUUUUGCCUUAAGUUUAAUAAGUUUGCCAACACUGUGAAUUUCGCCUAUAC